rnacentral:rRNA from 1 species
UACGUAGGGACCAAGCGUUGUUCGGAUUUACUGGGCGUAAAGGGCGCGUAGGCGGCAAUUCAAGUCAUCUGUGAAAUCUCCGGGCUUAACCCGGAACGGUCAGGUGAUACUGUUUUGCUAGAGUGCGGAAGGGGCAAUCGGAAUUCUCGGUGUAGCGGUGAAAUGCGUAGAUAUCGAGAGGAACACCGGUGGCGAAGGCGGGUCUCUGGGCAGUAACUGACGCUGAGGAGCGAAAGCGUGGGUAGCAAACAGG